AUGGCAUUCCUAAUAGCAUAUCUUUUGUUGUAAGUUCGAAGUUAUACAUUUCUUUUAUAGUUAAUAUCUUAUCCCAUAUUUGUAUUUUUAUAUUUUUUGCCUUAUAUGUGAUCAUGCUUCCUUCAUUAUUAAAUCAUGUUACUACUAUCGGUGUUUUUUAAUUUUUCCCAUUUAUCUUCUGGUAAACAAUUGUAUUUACAUAUAUUAGCUUCUGCUCCUGUGUCUAUCAUUGGUGUAUAAUAUCUGUUGUAAUAUCC
rnacentral:lncRNA from 1 species